GGUUAAGAAAUUAAGCGUACACGGUGGAUGCCUAGGCAAUCAGAGGCGAAGAAGGACGUGUUAAUCUGCGAAAAGCGACGGUGAGCUGAUAAAAAGCGCAAUAGCCGUCGAUGUCCGAAUGGGGAAACCCAGUGUAGGUGACUACACUAUCAUAUGAUGAAUUCAUAGUCAUAUGAGGCGAACCGGGAGAACUGAAACAUCUAAGUACCCCGAGGAAAAGAAAUCAACCGAGAUUCCCUAAGUAGCGGCGAGCGAAAGGGGAGGAGCCCAAGCGGGUAGCAUAUAGUAUUAGUGGAAGCGUCUGGAAAGUCGCACGAUAGAGGGUGAAAGUCCCGUACACGAAGAUGCGAUAUGUGGAAGCUUAUAGAGUAGGGCGGGACACGUGAUAUCCUGUCUGAAGAAGGGGGGACCAUCCUCCAAGGCUAAAUACUCCUGAUUGACCGAUAGUGAACCAGUACCGUGAGGGAAAGGCGAAAAGAACCCCGGGAGGGGAGUGAAAUAGACCCUGAAACCGUGUACGUACAAUCAGUGGGAGCUGCUGCCGUUGGGUAGUGGUGACUGCGUACCUUUUGUAUAAUGGGUCAGCGACUUAUAUUCUGUAGCGAGGUUAACCGAAUAGGGGAGCCGAAGGGAAACCGAGUAUUAACUGUGCGUUAAGUUGCAGGGUAUAGACCCGAAACCCGGUGAUCUAGCCAUGGGCAGGUUGAAGGUUGGUUAACACUAACUGGAGGACCGAACCGACUAAUGUUGAAAAAUUAGCGGAUGACCUGUGGCUGGGGGUGAAAGGCCAAUCAAACCGGGAGAUAGCUGGUUCUCCCCGAAAGCUAUUUAGGUAGCGCCUCAUGAGUAACUGUUGGGGGUAGAGCACUGUUUCGGCUAGGGGGCCAUCCCGGCUUACCAACCCGAUGCAAACUCCGAAUACUGACAAGUUUAAUCAUGGGAGACACACGGCGGGUGCUAACGUUCGUCGUGAAGAGGGAAACAACCCAGACCGCCAGCUAAGGUCCCAAAGUCAUAGUUAAGUGGGAAACGAAGUGGGAAGGCUUAGACAGCUAGGAUGUUGGCUUAGAAGCAGCCAUCAUUUAAAGAAAGCGUAAUAGCUCACUAGUCGAGUCGGCCUGCGCGGAAGAUGUAACGGGGCUAAAACUAUGCACCGAAGCUGCGGCAGUGCACGCAAGUGUAUUGGGUAGGGGAGCGUUCUGUAAGCCGUAGAAGGUGUGUUGUGAGGCAUGCUGGAGGUAUCAGAAGUGCGAAUGCUGACAUAAGUAACGAUAAAGCGGGUGAAAAGCCCGCUCGCCGGAAGACCAAGGGUUCCUGUCCAACGUUAAUCGGGGCAGGGUGAGUCGACCCCUAAGGAGAGGCCGAAGGGCGUAUCUGAUGGGAAACGGGUUAAUAUUCCCGUACUGGCUAUAACUGCGAUGGGGGGACGAAGAAGGCUAGGUUUACCACCUAUUGGAUGGUGGGUUAAGCAUGUAGGCGUGUGAUUAGGCAAAUCCGGUCACUGAGACGCUGAGGUGUGAUGACGAGCUGCUAAGGCAGUGAAGUAAUUGAUGCCCUGCUUCCAGGAAAAUCCUCUAAGCUUCAGGUUAUAGUUAAUCGUACCCGAAACCGACACAGGUGGUCAGGUAGAGAAUACUCAGGCGCUUGAGAGAACUCGGGUGAAGGAACUAGGCAAAAUGGUGCCGUAACUUCGGGAGAAGGCACGCUGAUGGUAAUUGAAAUCCCGCGCGGACGUAGGUGAAAUCAGUCGAAGAUACCAGCUGGCUGCAACUGUUUAAUAAAAACACAGCACUGUGCAAACACGAAAGUGGACGUAUACGGUGUGACGCCUGCCCGGUGCUGGAAGGUUAAUUGAUGGGGUUAUGCGUAAGCAGAAGCUCUUGAUCGAAGCCCCAGUAAACGGCGGCCGUAACUAUAACGGUCCUAAGGUAGCGAAAUUCCUUGUCGGGUAAGUUCCGACCUGCACGAAUGGCGUAAUGAUGGCCAGGCUGUCUCCACCCGAGACUCAGUGAAAUUGAACUUGCCGUGAAGAUGCGGUGUACCCGUGGCAAGACGGAAAGACCCCGUGAACCUUUACUAUAGCUUGACAGUGAACAUUGAGCCUUAAUGUGUAGGAUAGGUGGGAG
rnacentral:ncRNA from 1 species